rnacentral:rRNA from 1 species
UACGAAGGGAGCUAGCGUUGUUCGGAAUCACUGGGCGUAAAGCGCACGUAGGCGGAUGUGUCAGUCAGAGGUGAAAUCCCGGAGCUCAACUCCGGAACUGCCUUUGAUACUGGCAAUCUUGAGGCUGGAAGAGGUUAGUGGAAUUCCCAGUGUAGAGGUGAAAUUCGUAGAUAUUGGGAAGAACACCAGUGGCGAAGGCGGCUAACUGGUCCAGAUCUGACGCUGAGGUGCGAAAGCGUGGGGAGCAAACAGG